AUGGAGUCCGGCGUGGAGUGCGCGGACGUGGUCCACGGCGACUACUUCAUGGGCGGCAUGAUGGUGAUCAACGGCCUCAUGGCCGUCGUCCUCCUCCUCUCGGGCCUCUUCCACUCCUUCCUCCGCCGCCUCGGCCAGCCCAGCAUCAUCUCCCACAUCCUCGCCGGCGUCGUGGUCGGCCCCACCUUCCUCGGCCGCGCCGUCGACCUGCGCCGCCUGGGCAUGCAGAACGCCGGCAGCGCGCUGGGCGACACCAUCUACUACCUCCGCAUCAUCUUCAUGUUCUUCCUCGGCCUCGAGAUGGACCUGCGCUACCUCCGCCACAACCUGCGCCGCUCCCUCCUGCUCGCCUGCGGCGGCUCCGCCAUCAGCUUCCUCCUCGCCGUGGCCGCGGGGCCCUUCUUCUACGGCAUGCUCCACCCAAGCUCCGCAGCCACCUUCCAUCCCCAGAAGCUCUACGCCUCCACCGCGCUCUUCAUCCUGGUGCUCACCAGCACCGCCUCGCCGGUGCUCAUCCGCAUCGUCACCGAGCUCAAGCUGACCACCUCCGAGACCGGCCAGCUCGCCAUCGGCGCAGCCUUCGCCACCGACAUCGUCAGCCUCACCGCCAUCAGCAUGAUGGUGGUGAACCCCACCAUCUUCGGCCACGACGGCAAGCCCCUCCCGUCGCGCUCCUCCUCCACCUCUUGCUCCACGCAGUUGAUCCUCUUCCUGUGGAUGGCGCUGGUGGUGUGCGUGGCCGUGGGCGUGGCCGUGAGGGCGGCCAGGCUGAUGAACCGGAUGAGGCGGGGCCGGCAGUACGUGAGCAAGUACGAGCUGUUGGGCAUGCUGCUGCUCAUCGUGGGCCUCUCCCUGGCGGUGCAGUUCAUGGGGUACAGCGCCUCCAUGGCCGCCUUCCUCAUCGGCCUGGCGGUGCCGCGCGAGGGGCCCCUGGCGCGCACGCUCGUCGACCGCCUCACCUACCCGGUGCACCAGAUGGUGAUGCCGCUCUGCUUCGGCGCCAUCGGCGCCAGGCUCGACUUCGCCGAGAUCGGGCGCUUCACGGCCACCCAGUUCGCCUUCGCCGUGGCCUUCACCACCGCGGUGAGCUCCGCCGGGAAGGUGGGCGGCACGGUGCUGGUGGGGCGGUGGCUGGGCAUGUCGGCGCGGGAGGCGCUGGUGCUGGGCUUCCUGCUCAACGUCAAGGGCUACUCGGACAUCCUGGCCAUCAACUUGGCGGACAAGAGCAACGUGUGGGGCGACACGGCGCAGGUGGUGCUGGUGGUGGCGUCCAUCCUCAACACCUUCAUGGCCGGGCCGGCGUCGGCGGCCAUCGUCCGGCAGCAGCGGCGCGCCUUCAAGUACCGCUCGCACUGCCUCCAGGAGCUGCGGGUGGAGCAGGAGCUGCGGGUGCUGGUGUGCGUGCACGGCGCCGGCGGCGUGCAGGCCAUGCUGACGCUGGCGGAGCUGUCCAAGGGCAGCAGCGCGCCGGUGGCCGUCUACCUGCUGCACCUGGUGGAGCUGCAGACGGCGCGCAAGUACGCCAUCACGCACCUCUACAACAACCAGUCCUUGGACUCCAAGGAGGAGGAGGACGCCCGGUGGGGCUACUCGUGGGAGAUGGAGCAGGUGACGGCGGCGGUGCACGGCUUCACCACCUACGACUACGACGCCGCCGUGCCGGUGCCGGUGCGCCAGAUGACGGCCAUCUCCAGCCUGGCGUCCAUGGACGCGGACGUGCGCAACGGCGUGGAGGACGCGCGGGCGUCGCUGGUGAUCGUGCCCUUCCACAAGGAGCAGCGCUACGACGGGCGCAUGGUUUCGCGGCGGGGCGGCGACGGGCGGCGGCAGCUGAACCAGCGCAUCCUGCAGCGCGCGCGGUGCACCGUGGGGAUCCUCGUGGAGCGG
rnacentral:rRNA from 1 species